UACGGGAGGCAGCAGUGGGGAAUCUUCCGCAAUGGGCGCAAGCCUGACGGAGCAACGCCGCGUGAGUGAAGAAGGCUUUCGGGUUGUAAAACUCUGUCUUCAGGGAAGAAAAAAAUGACGGUACCUGAGGAGGAAGCCCCGGCUAACUACGUGCCAGCAGCCGCGGUAAAACGUAGGGGGCGAGCGUUGUCCGGAAUUACUGGGCGUAAAGGGCGCGUAGGCGGUUUCUUAAGUCAGAGGUGAAAACUACCGGCUUAACCGGUAGCGUGCCUAUGAAACUGGGAGACUUGAGGGCAGGAGAGGGGAGUGGAAUUCCCAGUGUAGCGGUGAAAUGCGUAGAUAUUGGGAGGAACACCAGUGGCGAAGGCGGCUCUCUGGCCUGUUUCUGACGCUGAGGCGCGAAAGCGUGGGGAGCAAACGGGAUUAGAUACCCCGGUAGUCCACGCCGUAAACGAUGGGUGCUAGGUGUAGGAGGUAUCGACCCCUUCUGUGCCGUAGUUAACACAAUAAGCACCCCGCCUGGGGAGUACGGCCGCAAGGUUGAAACUCAAAGGAAUUGACGG
rnacentral:rRNA from 1 species